GCAGACACAUUCCAGCCAGUCAGCAGCAGACCCUCCCUCCCAGACCCUCCCACCUCCUGGACAGCAUCCAUUUUACAUUCAUUGUGAAGCUGCAUUCUUAGUGAGCUGUCCAGGAGGUGGGAGGGUCUGGGAGGGAGGGUCUGCUGCUGAUUGACUGGAAUGUGUCUG
rnacentral:miRNA from 1 species